rnacentral:lncRNA from 1 species
CUCCAUUAGUUGUUUUUAAGAUUUUUAACAACCUUCAUUUCUGUAUCGGUGAGUAGUGUGAUAUUUUUAAUAAGCUAGUGUAACUUACCCUUUCAUUAACCAUUUCGGAUCAAUAGGAGCAAGAUCCAGAUCCCGAUCAACAAGAUAGUUGUGAAUAGUUAAUCACCCGGACUCUCUUCAAAGGCUAGUGAAGGUCGUCCUAGGAUACCUAAUUGUUUACUUUUAAUUUAUUUUUUGAUUUUUUACUUGUUCUUUUAGAAUGAUCAUUCUCAUAACCCUAUUAGGUAUUCUAAAU